GACGAACGCUGGCGGCGUGCUUAACACAUGCAAGUCGAACGGUAAGGCCCUUCGGGGUACACGAGUGGCGAACGGGUGAGUAACACGUGGGUGAUCUGCCCUGCACUUCGGGAUAAGCCUGGGAAACUGGGUCUAAUACCGGAUAGGACCCUGGGAUGCAUGUCCUGGGGUGGAAAGCUUUUGCGGUGUGGGAUGGGCCCGCGGCCAAUCAGCUUGUUGGUGGGGUGAUGGCCUACCAAGGCGACGACGGGUAGCCGGCCUGAGAGGGUGACCGGCCACACUGGGACUGAGAUACGGCCCAGACUCCUACGGGAGGCAGCAGUGGGGAAUAUUGCACAAUGGGCGCAAGCCUGAUGCAGCGACGCCGCGUGAGGGAUGACGGCCUUCGGGUUGUAAACCUCUUUCAGCACCGACGAAGCGCAAGUGACGGUACCUACAGAAGAAGGACCGGCCAACUACGUGCCAGCAGCCGCAGUAA
rnacentral:rRNA from 1 species